GAUGAACGCUGGCGGCGUGCCUAAUACAUGCAAGUCGAGCGAACAGACGAGGAGCUUGCUCCUCUGACGUUAGCGGCGGACGGGUGAGUAACACGUGGAUAACCUACCUAUAAGACUGGGAUAACUUCGGGAAACCGGAGCUAAUACCGGAUAAUAUAUUGAACCGCAUGGUUCAAUAGUGAAAGACGGUUUUGCUGUCACUUAUAGAUGGAUCCGCGCCGCAUUAGCUAGUUGGUAAGGUAACGGCUUACCAAGGCAACGAUGCGUAGCCGACCUGAGAGGGUGAUCGGCCCCACUGGAACUGGGAAACGGCCCAGACUCCUACGGGGGGCAGCAGUAGGGAUUCUUCCGCAAUGGGCGAAAGCCUGACGGAGCAACGCCGCGUGAGUGAUGAAGGUCUUCGGAUCGUAAAACUCUGUUAUUAGGGAAGAACAAAUGUGUAAGUAACUAUGCACGUCUUGACGGUACCUAAUCAGAAAGCCACGGCUAACUACGUG
rnacentral:rRNA from 1 species